CGCCGUGCUCGUCGUAACGCCAUGCCAUGCCCUCCAACAGCCGCCGUCGGUGCUUCAUCGAAAAAUGCGGAAACUACGUCGCGGGACCUACGCAGAAACGGAGCUCGAAGUCACGCAAGUGCGAGGCCUUUAGCAGCCGCAGAGACUGCGCCUUGCCCCGUCGAAUCUUUCGCAAUGCGGCUACUACCUGCUGCUGUGACCCAUGUCGGUGCUUGGAUUGAAGCGAAACGCAAACCUCCGGAACAUGGCCGUCACAUACAGCACCUUUAAUCGUCCGUGAAAGACGAGCCUCGGUGAGCCAGCUCCAAGAAUGCAACGCAAAGAGGAACGUUGGCUGACCGAGCUCGCGUCAUCAUCGAUGAGAGAGACAGAGAGAGAGAGAGAUAAAAGCAAAGCAGGGACAAGGAGGUUAACCAGGGGACGUCUCCGGUUGUCCUGCACUGGCGAAGAGGCUGAAUCGAGUUCCACUUUCUUUCUGUUCAGAAAACCGCCAUGAGCUAAGGAUAGUUACUUGGACCUCAGCAAAGAAACCAGUGGAAUGUUCAGGUCUUCGACUCCGGGAACCUGCAGUUUCUAGUUGAAACGAACCUAACGUCGAAAACCGAGGAGGGGCCCGCACACCUGGGGAAAUCAGCGUCAAAGCGCCCAUUUUAUCGGCAGGCAGUUCCUUUUUGGCGAAGGGCACUCACACCACACAUGUCCCGGACCUGUCUUCGCGGCUCUAGACAUGUCCUCUCGGAAGACGUGCAGAAAGAACAGCGCAAUGUCUGCGGCAAAACAGAAGCAACUCUGAAAGGCACCUGCAGGACGCGCUCAAGGAGAUAGGCCUGUACCGGAAAGGGGCGCAGAGCUAAGGAGGAUCAACGGUGCAGCAUGGGGACAGAAAAAAAAAUAAAAGAACAAGGAUUGGUGAAAGAACGGGACAACGGAAGACAACGAGUGUCUCUAACAAAGAUGCAGUACCAUAAGGUUGAGAGGAGUGGUGGAGUUGAGAUGAGGCCGCAGAAGGCAAGAAAGAAAGAAAAUGUGCAUGGCUGCUGCCAAAACAAACACCGCUGGUUCGGCAUUGGCUGAGGAGUGGGGGUUUGUAUUCUCGUCAAAUUUUGGCCGCAUCCCAGCGGCACUAGGUCAGCACUAAUUUUAUCUUCCUGAUCGAUGGUUGAGCGCAUCGAUCGCUAUUAGCACUCGCAAUAUAGCCGGGUAAACCGGAGCAAAGCAGAGGCAGCACGAGCUUGCACUCGGUUCAAGACCG